UACGUAGGGAGCAAGCGUUGUUCGGAUUUACUGGGCGUAAAGGGCGCGUAGGCGGCGCGGUAAGUCACUUGUUAAAUCUCUGAGCUUAACUCAGAACGGCCAAGUGAUACUGCAGUGCUAGAGUGCAGAAGGGGCAAUCGGAAUUCUUGGUGUAGCGGUGAAAUGCGUAGAUAUCAAGAGGAACACCUGAGGUGAAGACGGGUUGCUAGGCUGACACUGACGCUGAGGCGCGAAAGCCAGGGGAGCAAACAGG
rnacentral:rRNA from 1 species